rnacentral:rRNA from 1 species
UACGGAGGGUGCAAGCGUUAUCCGGAUUCACUGGGUUUAAAGGGUGCGUAGGCGGGCAGGUAAGUCCGUGGUGAAAUCUCUGGGCUUAACCCAGAACGGUCAGCUGAUACUGCGGGGCUAGAGUGCAGAAGGGGCAACUGGAAUUCUCGGUGUAGCGGUGAAAUGCGUAGAUAUCGAGAGGAACACCUGCGGCGAAGGCGGGUUGCUGGGCUGACACUGACGCUGACAGCGCGAAAGCUAGGGGAGCGAACGGG